rnacentral:lncRNA from 1 species
GCCGCAUAGUAGAUGUUCUUCGGAACACCACCCACAAUGGGUUCCCUGUUGUAGAUGACAGGGAGGUGCCAGUAGGCAGUCAGGCACUCGGAGAACGGGAACUGCAUGGACUAGUUUUAAGAGCUCACCUUGUUUUACUACUGAAGAAGAAAUGGUUCCUGCAAGAGAGAAGGAGAACAGAAGAAUGGGAAGUGAGAGAAAAAAUUACCUCAGUUGAUUUGGCUGAAAGGAGUGUGAAGCUUGAAGAGGUAGCUGUGACGAAGAAUGAGAUGGAGAUGUAUGUUGAUUUACAUCCUCUCACCAAUACAACAGCUUACACGGUAGUGGAGACCAUGUCUGUUGCAAAGGCUCUUGUGCUGUUCAGGGAGGUGGGUCUCCGCCAUAUGCUCAUCCUGCCCAAGUUUCAAGGAUCUGGGGUAAGUUAAGGCAAUUAUCAUUCCGAUGUGCUAGUAAUUUACACAAAUCACUAACCUGCUCGGCGUUGUGUUUCUUUAUACAGGUGUCUCCGGUGGUGGGGAUCUUGACCAGGCAGGACCUGAGGGCCCAUAACAUUUUAAGUGCUUUCCCU